rnacentral:rRNA from 1 species
UACGUAGGGUGCGAGCGUUGUCCGGAAUUAUUGGGCGUAAAGAGCUUGUAGGCGGCUUGUCGCGUCUGCUGUGAAGAUCCGAGGCUCAACCUCGGACUUGCAGUGGGUACGGGCAGGCUAGAGUGUGGUAGGGGAGACUGGAAUUCCUGGUGUAGCGGUGAAAUGCGCAGAUAUCAGGAGGAACACCGAUGGCGAAGGCAGGUCUCUGGGCCACUACUGACGCUGAGAAGCGAAAGCAUGGGGAGCGAACAGG